rnacentral:rRNA from 1 species
UACGAAGGGGGCUAGCGUUGUUCGGAAUUACUGGGCGUAAAGCGCACGUAGGCGGAUUGUUAAGUGAGGGGUGAAAUCCCAGGGCUCAACCCUGGAACUGCCUCUCAUACUGGCAAUCUCGAGUUCGAGAGAGGUGAGUGGAAUUGCGAGUGUAGAGGUGAAAUUCGUAGAUAUUCGCAAGAACACCAGUGGCGAAGGCGGCUCACUGGCCCGAUACUGACGCUGAGGCACGAAAGCGUGGGGAGCAAACAGGG